rnacentral:rRNA from 1 species
UACGGAGGGGGCUAGCGUUGUUCGGAAUUACUGGGCGUAAAGCGCACGUAGGCGGCUUUGUAAGUUAGAGGUGAAAGCCCGGAGCUCAACUCCGGAAUUGCCUUUAAGACUGCAUCGCUUGAAUCAUGGAGAGGUGAGUGGAAUUCCGAGUGUAGAGGUGAAAUUCGUAGAUAUUCGGAAGAACACCAGUGGCGAAGGCGACUCACUGGACAUGUAUUGACGCUGAGGUGCGAAAGCGUGGGUAGCAAACAGG